rnacentral:rRNA from 1 species
GACAGAGGGUGCAAACGUUGUUCGGAAUUACUGGGCGUAAAGCGCGUGUAGGCGGCUAAGUAAGUCGGGCGUGAAAUCUCACGGCUCAACCGUGGAAGUGCACUCGAAACUGCAUAGCUAGAGUCCUGGAGAGGAAGGUGGAAUGCUUGGUGUAGAGGUGAAAUUCGUAGAUAUCAAGCGGAACACCGGUGGCGAAGGGCGGCCUUCUGGACAGUGACUGACGCUGAGACGGCGAAAAGCGUGGGGAGCAAACAGG